GCGCGCAACUAUAGAAAGUGAAACAACACCCUCACUCAAAAUCCUUGCGCGGAUUGGCGGGAUGCUCGGUACGCCAUUUCUCCAUCAGCGCUUCAAGCCCCGCGNNNNNNNNNNNGUGACAUAAAGGUCGCCGAAACCGUCGGCGCCCGUUGCGCCCUUGAUCGGCAGACCCUUGCCCUUCAGGCGGAACGUCCGCCCCGAUGAGGUGUUCUUCGGGAUAGAGAGAUGCACCGCGCUGUCGAGCGUCGGCACGCGGACCUUCGCACCGAGCACGGCUUCGUACAGCGUGACCGGCAGAUCGAGACGCAGAUCGUUGCCGUCGAUCUUGAAGUAAGGAUGCGGCGCGAUGUUCACCGUGAUCAGCACAUCGCCGGGACGAUGACCGGGCGCGGUUUCGCCCUGCCCCUUGAGGCGGAUCUGCUGGCCGGAGGUGACGCCUGCCGGAAUCUUGACGUUGAGUUCCUUGCCGGUCGG
rnacentral:misc_RNA from 1 species